UACGUAGGGCGCAAGCGUGUCCGGAAUUAUUGGGCGUAAAGAGCUCGUAGGUGGCUUGUCACGUCGGGUGUGAAAGCUUGGGGCUUAACUCCAGGUCUGCAUUCGAUACGGGCUGGCUAGAGGUAGGUAGGGGAGAACGGAAUUCCCGGUGUAGCGGUGAAAUGCGCAGAUAUCGGGAGGAACGACCGGUGGCGAAGGCGGUUCUCUGGGCCUGUACUGACGCUGAGGAGCGAAAGCGUGGGGAGCGAACG
rnacentral:rRNA from 1 species